CUUCUACCUUAAACUUUUUUUCCCUCAAAAGUACAUUUAUCGUUACAAAUUUAAGGUCAACUGUGCCUCUGCCCUUAACGUGACUGACACGUGAACAUAUUUUGCUGAUGAGGCUGACACCUGGACUCAAGCCCAACAACCAGAUGGGAAAAAAUGUAAUAACAAAUUUUAUAAUUUAAAUUUAAAAAAAUAUACAAUUUCAUCCUCCAUAGAUGUGAUUAUUGGAACACAACCCAAGAUUUUAAAGCCAAAACAAGAUCAGAUCAAUUUAAACCAAAAUUAAUUAUGGGAAGAAAAUCACCUAAAUUGGUACCAUGAAAACAAACACCCAAUCGGAACAUGAACAAAGAAAAUCAGUAAGUAAAACAUGAACCCAGAUCAGGAUAACAUAUGGAUCAACCAAAGCAAGCCAUAAGACCAGAACCCAGAAUCCAAAACCACCAGAACCAGACCCAUUUCCUAUUAGAGAUCUUUGCUCGAACCCAGAUUCCGUCGACUAAAUCAGAAAUAACCAUUAUAAAACUUGUUAAUGGACAUGAAAAUCAAUAAAUGUGCAUAAUCAAAUCUGGAAUAAAUUUAAAUUCGACAUCCAAAACAGCAUCAGGGCGAACAUCUAAACCCCUAAUUUAAAAGCCCAAACCGGAACCCCCACUUCAGGUCAUAACUUUCAAAUUAGCACUCACGAAAGCCCCUAUUAAUCUCACAAGAAAACCCUUUAAUCUAUAAAACCCUCAUACUUAGCAAAAAUAUAGAUCGAAAAUGAGAUUUUCGUGAAGGCUCUCAUAUGGCGUCGACGGAAAAGCAGAAACAGAACCCAAGCUUCGAAAAUGGAGUAAGAAAUGGAAGAGAUGGUGGGUCAAAGAGGAGGAAAGGAAGCCGGAUGAGCAUGUAGGAAGCUGUUGAUGGAGGUAGCAGCACCAACUUCCAAAAUCACCAAAAAAAUAGUCCAGAUCCAAACCCACAAACAAAAAUCCCAUAACAGAUCCUUUAAAUAAGUUUAUAUCUACAAGCUGUGAUCUUUAUUGGUUACAUAGAACUGGAGAACGAUCGAUUAUAGCUGAUUCUGUUACUUGGUCACCGCUGGAUAUGUGAGAGAAAAGACAAAGGAAAAGAAAAAAAAUCAAAAGCCCCAAAAGUUUGAUGAACUCUUCAUUACGACGUUGUUGAAAGUCAAUUUCUUUUUUUAUUUUGACUUUUACUUUAGAAAUCUUUUAGCCCAAGAGUGGUUCUCAAUGAAUUGUAGUCAAAAGUUCUUUUCUACUCCUACUCAUACUCUAAAUUGUAUUAUUC
rnacentral:lncRNA from 1 species